CCUGGUGGCAAGAGCGGAGUGGUCCCACCCGUUCCCAUUCCGAACACGGUCGUGAAACGCUCCAGCGCCGACGAUACUCCGGCAUUGCGCCGCGGGAAAAUAGGCCGGUGCCAGGA
rnacentral:rRNA from 1 species